GCAGUCGAACGAGUUCUGAUUAUUGAAAGGUGCUUGCAUCUUGAUUUAAUUUUGAACGAGUGGCGGACGGGUGAGUAACACGUGGGUAACCUGCCCUUAAGUGGGGGAUAACAUUUGGAAACAGAUGCUAAUACCGCAUAAAUCCAAGAACCGCAUGGUUCUUGGCUGAAAGAUGGCGUAAGCUAUCGCUUUUGGAUGGACCCGCGGCGUAUUAGCUAGUUGGUGAGGUAACGGCUCACCAAGGCAAUGAUACGUAGCCGAACUGAGAGGUUGAUCGGCCACAUUGGGACUGAGACACGGCCCAAACUCCUACGGGAGGCAGCAGUAGGGAAUCUUCCACAAUGGACGCAAGUCUGAUGGAGCAACGCCGCGUGAGUGAAGAAGGCUUUCGGGUCGUAAAACUCUGUUGUUGGAGAAGAAUGGUCGGCAGAGUAACUGUUGUCGGCGUGACGGUAUCCAACCAGAAAGCCACGGCUAACUACGUGCCAGCAGCCGCGGUAAUACGUAGGUGGCAAGCGUUAUCCGGAUUUAUUGGGCGUAAAGCGAGCGCAGGCGGUUUUUUAAGUCUGAUGUGAAAGCCCUCGGCUUAACCGAGGAAGUGCAUCGGAAACUGGGAAACUUGAGUGCAGAAGAGGACAGUGGAACUCCAUGUGUAGCGGUGAAAUGCGUAGAUAUAUGGAAGAACACCAGUGGCGAAGGCGGCUGUCUGGUCUGUAACUGACGCUGAGGCUCGAAAGCAUGGGUAGCGAACAGGAUUAGAUACCCUGGUAGUCCAUGCCGUAAACGAUGAAUGCUAGGUGUUGGAGGGUUUCCGCCCUUCAGUGCCGCAGCUAACGCAUUAAGCAUUCCGCCUGGGGAGUACGACCGCAAGGUUGAAACUCAAAGGAAUUGACGGGGGCCCGCACAAGCGGUGGAGCAUGUGGUUUAAUUCGAAGCAACGCGAAGAACCUUACCAGGUCUUGACAUCUUUUGAUCACCUGAGAGAUCAGGUUUCCCCUUCGGGGGCAAAAUGACAGGUGGUGCAUGGUUGUCGUCAGCUCGUGUCGUGAGAUGUUGGGUUAAGUCCCGCAACGAGCGCAACCCUUAUGACUAGUUGCCAGCAUUUAGUUGGGCACUCUAGUAAGACUGCCGGUGACAAACCGGAGGAAGGUGGGGAUGACGUCAAAUCAUCAUGCCCCUUAUGACCUGGGCUACACACGUGCUACAAUGGAUGGUACAACGAGUUGCGAGACCGCGAGGUCAAGCUAAUCUCUUAAAGCCAUUCUCAGUUCGGACUGUAGGCUGCAACUCGCCUACACGAAGUCGGAAUCGCUAGUAAUCGCGGAUCAGCACGCCGCGGUGAAUACGUUCCCGGGCCUUGUACACACCGCCCGUCACACCAUGAGAGUUUGUAACACCCGAAGCCGGUGGCGUAACCCUUUAGGGAGCGAGCCGUCUAAGG
rnacentral:rRNA from 1 species